UGACAUUGAUUACAUUAAAUCUCACGGAGGUGGUGUUCCCCCUGAUAUCACUAACAAACUAAACCAGCUUGAUACCAAGGUGUCAGCAGCUGAGAAUAGAGUGACUGCCCUUGAAGCGACAGUUCACAGGGUGGCUUGCAGCAGCAAUCCCUGUCAGAACGGAGGGACAUGUCUGAACUUACUCAACUCAUACCACUGUCUGUGUCCCAACAACUGGGCUGUGAGUUCCAUACUGUUUUGUUACGUUAUGGGAAUGGUUAUUAUAUGUAUUAAUGUAAA